AUCGCUUCUCGGCCUUUUGGCUAAGAUCAAGUGUAAAAAAGUUUGCAGCAAAAUUAAAAGAUAAAUUUAUUUCUAUGGGACAUAUUUUUGAAAUCCAUGCACCAUCUUAAUAGAGUUUUCAUACGUGCUGUGACGACCCUGGUGUGCGUGGGCAUUGGAGUCCUGCACAGUUUCCUCACAAUGCACAUUUUCA